GAUGAACGCUGGCGGCGUGCCUAAUACAUGCAAGUCGAGCGAACGGACGAGAAGCUUGCUUCUCUGAUGUUAGCGGCGGACGGGUGAGUAACACGUGGAUAACCUACCUAUAAGACUGGGAUAACUUCGGGAAACCGGAGCUAAUACCGGAUAAUAUUUUGAACCGCAUGGUUCAAAAGUGAAAGACGGUCUUGCUGUCACUUAUAGAUGGAUCCGCGCUGCAUUAGCUAGUUGGUAAGGUAACGGCUUACCAAGGCAACGAUGCAUAGCCGACCUGAGAGGGUGAUUGGCCACACUGGAACUGAGACACGGUCCAGACUCCUACGGGAGGCAGCAGUAGGGAAUCUUCCGCAAUGGGCGAAAGCCUGACGGAGCAACGCCGCGUGAGUGAUGAGGGUCUUCGGAUCGUAAAACUCUGUUAUUAGGGAAGAACAUAUGUGUAAGUAACUGUGCACAUCUUGACGGUACCUAAUCAGAAAGCCACGGCUAACUACGUG
rnacentral:rRNA from 1 species